ACAAAAUCAGUUCAGUAUUGGUUCAAGUCGAUUAACAAUCGACAGCCAUCAAGAUGUUCUCCAGGUGCAUCUGCAUCUCGAAGAUGACUUUCGCCAAACCCAACACCAUGCUUUCAGAUAUUUUCGAUAUGAAUAAAGUUUUGUGCGUCUUGGUAAUUGCCCAGUCGAUUCACAAGGUGUUGAGGAAUCUGUAAUCUCUAUUUUUGGAAAACUCUGGAGACAAGAUGGACGCGAAGCUGGAGUAACAUCAGGAAUGGCUGUGCAAAUUUUUCAAAAUUACUUUCAAAAACACAUCCACACCACCAAUCAAUUAACGACACAUCAAAGUUUAACAAAAAACUAAACCACAUAAAAGAUUUACACGAAAAUUGACUUCGAUACAAAAUAAACGUUCUUUCAAGUAAUGAUUAAUGUUACUUUUUGUAGUGAAAUAAUAACUGUGCUCUAUUUAUAAUAAAAGUUUCACCAGUAACAAUAAAAUUGUAAGUAUA